AUAGACUAUGAGGAGGGCACCCGGGGAACUGAAACAUCUAAUUACCCGGAGGAACAGUAAUCAAACGAGAUUUUCUUAGUAGCGGCGAGCGAACGGGAAAGAGGCCAAACCGGAGCGGGCAACCGCACCGGGGUUGAGGACAGUCAUCAAGUGUAAAUGAGGUAGAAGAAUCGAGCUGGAAAGCUCAGCCGCAGAAGGUGAAAGCCCUGUAAUCGAAACCUUGCAUACAUGGGACUGUAUCCAGAGUACCACGAGACACGUG
rnacentral:rRNA from 1 species